rnacentral:rRNA from 1 species
UACAGAGACUGCAAGCGUUAUUCGGAUUCACUGGGCGUAAAGGGUGCGUAGGCGGCGCGGUAAGUCGGGUGUGAAAUCUCGGAGCUUAACUCCGAAACUGCAUUCGAUACUGCCGUGCUUGAGGACUGGAGAGGAGACUGGAAUUUACGGUGUAGCGGUGAAAUGCGUAGAUAUCGUAAGGAAGACCAGUGGCGAAGGCGGGUCUCUGGACAGUUCCUGACGCUGAGGCACGAAGGCCAGGGGAGCAAACGGG